AUUGCAACCAACUUACGAUUUAAAACUCAUUACCAGAUGUCGCUAGUGUCACCCUUGUUGUUUUGCAUCGUCAUCGUCAACAUUCUUAUACCAAAUUGAACUUCGUAACUUGUAUGCAUACUGUCAGUCAUUCCAAAAAGUUGACUUAGCGCUCAGUCACUUUCCAUCCAAUAGACCCAUCAUGUUGUCAAAUCCUAAAACUAAUGUGUGAAGCUCACAUAUCGUGGAAUACAAAUGUGUGGAGACAAGGUAUUUCCCCAUUACUGCUACCACACCAACCACACCAAACCAUCCGCCUUACUAAAUUCAGCACCAUUCACCCACAUGAUAAAGGAAAUUUACCUCAACCUAAGGAGUAAGGCUGUUGGUUGCUGUGAUUUCCAUUUUUACGGUUUUUUAUCAUGAAAACUUCAGUGUGCUUGUUAGUAUAGAGCACAUAAUAGAUCCUUAAGCCAAUGCUGACCUUUGCCCAUGAAGGAAGAGGGACAUCCAGCAACGUUCUGCUCCAUCCUUAUCUUCCCGACGUACACUCAUCUAGCUUCACUGCUUUUGCUGCUACAACUUGUCUUAUUACUUCACCGACGAGUUGGAACACUUCAGUGGUUGCUACCCUUUGCUGUUACACACCUGGAGUUACUCACCACGGGAUUAUGCCCAGGUAAUACAGAGGAAAUUUCGAGAAGAUGGACACCAUAACG
rnacentral:lncRNA from 1 species